rnacentral:rRNA from 1 species
CUAGGCGACGAUGUGUAGCCGGUCUGAGAGGAUGAACGGCCACAAUGGAACUGAGACACGGUCCAUACUCCUACGGGAGGCAGCAGUGGGGAAUAUUGCACAAUGGGGGAAACCCUGAUGCAGCAACGCCGCGUGAGUGAAGAAGGUUUUCGGAUUGUAAAGCUCUGUUAGCAGGGAAGAGGAAGGACGGUACCUGCAGAGGAAGCCACGGCUAACUACGUGCCAGCAGCCGCGGUAAUACGUAGGUGGCAAGCGUUGUUCGGAAUAACUGGGCGUAAAGGAUGCGUAGGCGGUUGAGUAAGUUAUGUGUUAAAUAUAUAGGCUUAACCUGUAGAAAGCACAUAAAACUGUUUAACUAGAGUGCAGGAGAGGUAAGUGGAAUUCCUAGUGUAGCGGUGAAAUGCGUAGAGAUUAGGAAGAACACCAGUGGCGAAGGCGACUUACUGGACUGUAACUGACGCUGAGGCAUGAGAGCAUGGGGAGCAAACAGGAUUAGAUACCCUGGUAGUCCAUGCUGUAAACGAUGGGUACUAGGUGUGGGUUGUGAAUAACAAUCCGUGCCGUCGCAAACGCAAUAA